AACGUAGGAGACAAACGUUAUCCGGAGUUACUGGGCGUAAAGGGCGUGUAGGUGGUAAUGUAAGUCUGGCGUGAAAAUUUUUCGGCUUAACCGGGAAAGGUCGUCGGAUACUGCAUCACUAGAGGACGGUAGAGGCGUGUGGAAUUCCUGGUGUAGCGGUGAAAUGCGUAGAUAUCAGGAGGAACACCUGUGGUGUAGACGGCUUUCUGGACCAUAGCUGACGCUGAGACACGAAAGCUGGGUAGCAAACAGG
rnacentral:rRNA from 1 species